UCUAAGGCUCUGAAAGAUACAACAAGUUUAUAAAUCAAGCUCUGGGCUGGUGCUUUUUGCCUAUGAAUUACGCUGCUACAGACAGCAGGCAGCAGAACCUCAGCUUCAAACAAGCGGCAGUGAUUUGCGCUCUAACACCCUUGGCCAGAUGCAUCUUGAAAGUUCUUUUUCUGUGACGGAAGUCGGUGAACCUCUCUUGUUUCUCGAGCCCGGUGAGCUGAGGUGAUAACUACUGCAGCAGCAAGAGAUCACAUCUUUCCUCCAAAGGGCUAUGGACCUAACAGAGCGGCAGCCUACUAGUUCCUCCAGCCAGAUGACGCCACCUGCCCAGCCCUGGGGGCUUCCUGAUGGCCCCCUUUUGUAGCCAUAUCCUUCCCAGAAAGAGAGCAGCCUUCAGCCUUGACUUCCUCUGUCCGGAGCUAGGGCUCUUCCUUCUGCCCAGGAUCUGGGAACCGGGACGCUAGGAUUCACACUCAAAGCCUGAACCCAGCUCUCCAACCUGUCCUCCCAGCAUGCACUGUCCUGGCUUUGUGUACAACCCAGGAAUCCAAGGGCAAGGGGCAGCUUUCCUGGAGGGCGUGGCCUGGCUUGGGUGUACAGGUGGGGCAUUUGCCCGUGCUCUGUGUGGAGUCCUAGGAGUCCGGCCGUCCUGCUUGCCCUUCUGGGCUGUAUCUGUGAGUGGAGGAGGAUAGAAAUAUUUCUGUUAAGCCGUCUGCCAGCUUUAUGGAUCACUCUAGAGACUUCGUGUGUGGCACGCAGCCCGUCCCUGACC